rnacentral:rRNA from 1 species
GAGGAAAAGAAACUAACAAGGAUUCCCCUAGUAACUGCGAGUGAAGCGGGAAAAGCUCAAAUUUAAAAUCUGGUAGUCUUUGGCUGCCCGAGUUGUAAUCUAGAGAAGCGUUAUCCGCGUUGGACCGUGUAUAAGUCUCCUGGAAUGGAGCGUCAUAGAGGGUGAGAAUCCCGUCUUUGACACGGACUACCAGGGCUUUGUGAUGCGCUCUCAAAGAGUCGAGUUGUUUGGGAAUGCAGCUCUAAAUGGGUGGUAAAUUCCAUCUAAAGCUAAAUAUUGGCGAGAGACCGAUAGCGAACAAGUACCGUGAGGGAAAGAUGAAAAGAACUUUGGAAAGAGAGUUAAACAGUACGUGAAAUUGUUGAAAGGGAAACGCUUGAAGUCAGUCGCGUUGACCAGGGAUCAACCUUGCUUUUGCUUGGUGUACUUCCUGAUUAACGGGUCAGCAUCAAUUUUGACCAGUGGAAAAAGUUCGAGGGAAUGUGGCAUCUUCGGAUGUGUUAUAGCCCUUGGUCGUAUACAUUGGUUGGGAUUGAGGAACUCAGCACGCCGCAAGGCCGGGUUUUAACCACGUUCGUGCUUAGGAUGCUGGCAUAAUGGCUUUAAUCGACCCGUCUUGAAACACGGACCAAGGAGUCUAACAUGCCUGCGAGUGUUUGGGUGGAAAACCCAAGCGCGUAAUGAAAGUGAAAGUUGGGAUCUCUGUCGUGGGGAGCACCGACGCCCGGACCAGACCUUCUGUGACGGAUCCGCGGUAGAGCAUGUAUGUUGGGACCCGAAAGAUGGUGAACUAUGCCUGAAUAGGGUGAAGCCAGAGGAAACUCUGGUGGAGGCUCGUAGCGAUUCUGACGUGCAAAUCGAUCGUCG